rnacentral:rRNA from 1 species
GGAAUUACGGAUGAAAAUCAGGGAUUGAUUUUUGGAAGGUGGAUUUGUGAGUAAUUAUUUUUAUAGUAUUAAUAAAUGAAGGGUGGAAUAACAUGUGUACAUAUUGCCCGUCGCUCUCGUUAUUUUUGAGAUAAGUCGUAACAUAGUUGAUGAACUGGAAAGUGUAUCUUUUUGA